GACGAACGCUGGCGGCGUGCUUAACACAUGCAAGUCGAACGGAAAGGCCCUGCUUUUGUGGGGUGCUCGAGUGGCGAACGGGUGAGUAACACGUGAGUAACCUGCCCUUGACUUUGGGAUAACUUCAGGAAACUGGGGCUAAUACCGGAUAGGAGCUCCUGCUGCAUGGUGGGGGUUGGAAAGUUUCGGCGGUUGGGGAUGGACUCGCGGCUUAUCAGCUUGUUGGUGGGGUAGUGGCUUACCAAGGCUUUGACGGGUAGCCGGCCUGAGAGGGUGACCGGCCACAUUGGGACUGAGAUACGGCCCAGACUCCAACGGGAGGCAGCAGUGGGGAAUAUUGCACAGUGGGCGGAAGCCGGAUGCAGCAGCGCCGCGUGCGGGAUGACGGCCUUCGGGUUGUAAACCGCUUUCGCCUGUGACGAAGCGUGAGUGACGGUAAUGGGUAAAGAAGCACCGGCUAACUACGUG
rnacentral:rRNA from 1 species